rnacentral:tRNA from 1 species
UUUUUUGAAGUAUUUUAGUACCUUUACCUUCCAAGUAAAAUGAGCCAUUUGGCCUUUAGAG